UUUUAGCCUUGAGAAAGACCGUCCCAAGUUUACAUCAUGAUAUCUGUUAGUGGACAUGCAAAACUGUGACAGAUCAAACUUCUAUACAAAGGAGGAAUCCCAAUGGGGACUUUCUGCCCCAAAUAUGUUUGCCUUAAGUGCCACGAUGCUUGCAAAUUAUUUCUUGGACUUGGACAAUCUGUCCCGGAGUCUCUGAGAGACCUAUCAAUGCAGGCAUAUGGAUACCAAUGUGGAUUCACUGUUUGACUUCUUUUCUCUGAGAAAGAAAGAAGAUGCCGAGCAUCACAAGAGGAACAAGUUUCUUAAAAAUUGAAUUGAGCGUGGGGCUUGAUGGGGAAAUCCACAAAUCUUGGUUCUGAAAGGAUCUUGUGCCUGCCACGUAGCUUUGACCAACGUACCCCAGCUGCCUUCUGUGACAUCGCAUCUCCCAGAGAUCCUCAGAGGGACAGGUCCUAAUCUCAAAAAAGCUUUCUUAUGCUGAUGCAGUUGACCAGAAAUUCCUUGGGAGGACAGCUGGACUCUGUCUCAGAUGUGUUCUCCACCCUUCCCUGCGUGACUCUGGACCACAGGAAUGAAUGGUGGUUUCCAGAAGAGCCCAGCCCUCCUGUCUUCCUCAAUUCCCCACUCCAACAGGGAGACUGUGGCAAGAGAUGGGAGCACGAGAGGAUGGGGAACCAAAGCUUUGCUCCUUCUCACUCUACUUUGAUGGGCAUCACUAGUAGCAACCACAUCUGUCCAGGAUGCAGCUUCUACCAAAUGGCACCCAUUGUGGUUCUAGAAUCAUCCAAGAAGCCAGCGAUGGGGGUCUGAUAACACCAUCUUUCCCUAUGUCCCUCUUGCUCGUCCUCAGGUUGCUAAUCUCUCAGUGUCUUACUGUCCUAUCAUGUCAGUUCUUCAAUCACCUAUGUCACCAAUCCCCUAUCUUAAAUUCCCUCUGUUGGAAAUUCCCAGUGUGAUCAUUAUUCCCUGAAGGUUCCCAGGCAAUGUGAGCCCCACUUAGCAUGUCAGGGAGUGAGGAGCAAGCUGAAACCGUGCUGGCAAAGUGUGUUGAUCAGAGCCUGGAAGGAUCACUCACAAGGCAAACGUCCAGCGGCACUAACGCAGCAAUGCUCAUUAUCGGGGGCAACAUGAAGAUCAGGAGCAUCAUACCAUAAAGAGGGAAAUGAAACGUGGACUUAAGACUCAUCAACCUGAGUUCGAAUUCAGCUUUGCCACUUACUGCCUGGCUGAUUUUAAGCAAACUAUCCUUUCUCUUGGGCAAUUUCAUCAUCUUUAAUAGGCACAGAACAAUGCCAAACUCUCCGAGUGUUUACAAGAUUAAAGGAGUGAUCCAUAAAGGGGACAGCAUCUGCUCUUACCUCCCAGAUCCAAAAGGUGAAGACAGAUGUUUAGAAAAGUAACUUCCCUGUGAGGAUGAUCAGGAUUAAAAUCAAGUUGAGUAAAGCACAGUUCACUCCCCGUAGUUACCUCACAGGGAGAUUUUGAAGGUGAAAUGAAAACAAAGUUCCCAUUAUUAUUUAAUAGGUCCUCAGCUACCUUGAUUUCUUUUUCCGUCCCUCCCAUUAAGUCUGAGAUUUCUAGACAAGUCCCGGGAAGUAUAGGUGCAGAACAGAGCAGAGUUUGCAUUCUGCUAAGCCAAGGUUUUGUGGGUUCCCCCAACAUCUUAAGGGGACAAUCGCCUGUCAGAUGGCCCUCCAUGUGGAGAACAGCCCUGAGUGCUUCCAGACCCCACGUGUUCGGCCCAUGGAUCACAAGGCAUUGUUAUUUCCCACUAAUAAAUCCACCCUACCACCAA